GCAAGAGCAAAUUUUAACAACUACUAUUAGAAAACAUGGCAUUGCUUAUUGGAUUGACAGAUCUUUUCAUAGAGUUGUCAAGUCUGUGACUGUAGCACUUGGUGGCUGAGCUUUUUUAAGCUACAGCUGUUUGGUGCCUGAUUCUUCAAUCAUUUUUAUCUGAUGAAGUUUAUUGGUGGUGACAUGCAUGUAGUGGAGGGGCUGAAAUAACAUGGUCAAGAUAUCUGAAAUAAGUUUCUUCAGUUCGAUCUAGUUUUGAAUGCAGUCAACUUGUGAUUCCUGACAGUUACUGAGUCCCAGAACUCCACAAAGUCUUAGCAUUUUCACUUAACAGGAGAGAAAUAAAAACAUGCUCCUCAAAAAAGAAAAAAGAAAAAAAAAAAGAAAA